GAGUUUGAUUAUGGCUCAGGAUGAACGCUGGCGGCGUGCCUAACACAUGCAAGUCGAGCGCGGUUGUGCUUAGUAUUGAGUGUUUUAUUGAUAUAAAACAUUGAAUUCUAUGCACAACUGAGCGGCGGACGGGUGAGUAACGCGUGGGUAACCUGCCCUAUACACAUGGAUAACAUACUGAAAAGUUUACUAAUACAUGAUAAAAUAGUUUUUCGGCAUCGAAGAAUUAUCAAAGUGUUAGCGGUAUAGGAUGGACCCGCGUCUGAUUAGCUAGUUGGUGAGAUAACUGCCCACCAAGGCGACGAUCAGUAGCCGACCUGAGAGGGUGAUCGGCCACAUUGGAACUGAGACACGGUCCAAACUCCUACGGGAGGCAGCAGUGGGGAAUAUUGCACAAUGGGCGCAAGCCUGAUGCAGCAACGCCGCGUGAACGAUGAAGGUCUUCGGAUCGUAAAGUUCUGUUGCAGGGGAAGAUAAUGACGUACCCUNGNGCC
rnacentral:rRNA from 1 species